AUUGGCCAGGUUAUUAGUACGAGAAUACUGACUGGAUAAACUUAGUAUGUUAAAUGCGUAUGUACAUAGAUGUGUAUAUAUACAUUUAUACAUUUAUUGAACUAGUAUAUAGAAAUCUUCACCUUAUUAGAAGAAGGUUGUAUAAAUGUAAGUACGUACAUUGAAAAAUUUCAUUCAUUCGGGAUAACAAACGAUUUAUUAUUAUAGAUAAUACAUGCCAUGGCCGAUUUUCAUUCAGCAGAUUUCGAAAGAAGGUUACUUCAUCUUUUUAUUUGUAGUUCCUUCGAUAUGAAAGUUUCGAGUACGGACCAUUCCAUGGAAUAUCGGAUAGGCUCAAAGCAGCAGAUGCACCAUUAAUAGAUAUUACAUCUGGAUCAUUAAUUCCAUCAACAGCAAGUGUGUUACAUACUAGUUGUGUUUCUAAAUUCCAUCCUUGUAGAAACAAUGGUCGUAAUGAUCUAUCUACUAAUCUACUUUUAAAGGAAGUAUAGAUUCGUUACUGCUAAUCUUACUACAAACUGCUGUGACCAUAACAGAUGUAUCUCCGAUAGAUACAACUGCACUACUAUUGCUAAGUUGAGCAUAUUUCCCACCAGAGAUGAUAAGAUGAC